AGUGUCUGUAGCCUGCAAGAAAGCUUCAAGUUCUUCUGCAUCUAUCAUGAUGUUGUUCUCUAUAUUGCAGACCUCAUAAUUAGCCUAAGUCCCACCUCAUGAACUUCUUCAUCUCUUACUAAAAAUAUGUAGUUCCAGUUCAUCUCUUCAUCAGCCCCUCAUUAGCAAUUCCAGGACCUUCCAAUUAUAGUUAUGCUCAAGGCGUGACAUCCCCUCUUAUCCUCAUCAACCUCGUCAUCAUCAUUUUCAUUGUGGACACAGAUACAUGUCGAAGCCUCGUCCCUGACUACGAUAGAGGCCAAAGUGUAGCUUUUCAGUUUUCCUCAAAUCUCAAACUAAUCAUAAAAAAUCCAGCCUGGCUGAUGAGCUGCACAGGAGAAUGGAGCUCGAGCGUGUGCAUGGAUUGCUGCUUCCACAUGUGGAUUGUGGUAGGCAGCCUCUCUCCAUAAGCUCAGCUCAUGUGCUGGACCCCCAAGUGCCAUUUUGGAAAAAUGUAUGGAGAGCAGCCCAACCAUGUCACCCUUUUUCUCCUUGUCAUCCGUAAUAUGCUUCACCUAUUAAAAACAAGUAAGUAUGAACAAAACCAAAAGUGAAGAAAGAAUGAGCACAUCUUUGCCAAAAAGGCUCCGAAAUCAUGCUAUGUAUUGAUAUAAAUAGCAAGAAAGCUACAGAUCUUUUUGCAUCUGUCAUCAGUAAGGAUGAAGUUACGACGUGUAGCUGUGCCCAGAAUGAGAAUGAUGACGAUGAUGAUGAUGAUGAUGGGGUGGACGUUGCACCUGCUGCAUAAUUAUAAUUAGAAGGUCCUCGAAUUGCUAAUGGUGGAUUGGUGAAGUUAUGAACUAGAAAUAUAUAUUUUUGGUAAGAUGUCAGCCAUAUAUAUAUAUAUAUAUAUAUAUAUGCUCAUAGCUAUAGGAUGAUCAAGAAGUGAAUAAGAUGCGAUUAGGCUUAUGAGGUUUAUGAGACAGUGAGAGAGCAGCAUCAGUGUACUAUUGGUUCUAAUAUAUAUGAAGAUUUUGUUUAACUUACAAUCU